rnacentral:rRNA from 1 species
GGAAUUUUCCGCAAUGGGCGAAAGCCUGACGGAGCAAUACCGCGUGAGGGAUGAAAGCCUGUGGGUUGUAAACCUCUUUUCUCAAGGAAGAAGUUCUGACGGUACUUGAGGAAUAAGCAUCGGCUAACUCUGUGCCAGCAGCCGCGGUAAUACAGAGGAUGCAAGCGUUAUCCGGAAUCACUGGGCAUAAAGCGUCUGUAGGUGGUUUGAUAAGUCUGCUGUUAAAGACUAGGGCUUAACCCUAGGAAAGCAGUGGAAACUGUCUGACUUGAGUAUGGUAGAGGUACAGGGAAUUCCUAGUGUAGCGGUGAAAUGCGUAGAUAUUAGGAAGAACACCAAUGGCGAAAGCACUGGACUGGGCCACAACUGACACUGAGAGACGACAGCUAGGGGAGCAAAUGGGAUUAGAUACCCCUGUAGUC